GCAUUAAUGGGGUAGUGGUAACCUGGGUCGUUGCCAUUUUGAGUAUUCUUCUUAACCUCUCUCGACCCGCCGGGGGUUCGAUUCCCUCUUAAUGCA